rnacentral:rRNA from 1 species
UACGAAGGGGGCUAGCGUUGCUCGGAAUCACUGGGCGUAAAGGGUGCGUAGGCGGGUCUUAAGUCAGGGGUGAAAUCCUGGAGCUCAACUCCAGAACUGCCUUUGAUACUGAAGAUCUUGAGUUCGGGAGAGGUGAGUGGAACUGCGAGUGUAGAGGUGAAAUUCGUAGAUAUUCGCAAGAACACCAGUGGCGAAGGCGGCUCACUGGCCCGAUACUGACGCUGAGGCACGGAAAGCGUGGGGAGCAAACAGG